UUGUUCGGUAAGUAUUAUAUGUUUGUAUACUCACCAAAACAGGGCUUAGUUCACUAGUCUGCAACAAAUAAAACAAGAAAGUCGAUCUAAUCUGAUCGAAAUCCGAACUCGAUCUGAUCUGAUCUCUCUCGCAUGUUGUUAGAUCUGCUGAUUAACAAGGUUUCAAGCAAGUCGUUUUUAUUUUGUUUUUCAUUAACAAGUGUUAAUCGGUGUUUGAUUUCUUUGUAGAUGGGAAUUUUAGAGAUCGGUUACAUGAACUUGUAAAGGAAGAGAUAGAGAAGAAGGAUUCGAGUACGGAGGAGUGGAAGAUCGUGAUGGAGAGAAGCUUCAAUCGCAUGGACAAUGAGGUGAUUGCAUGGAACGACAGCGUUCUGCGCCGAUUGUCGAUGCGAGCUCCAAACGCCGGAGUGCAACACAGUUGUAUCAACGGCGGUUGUCGCAGGCGUGACUCCCGAAAAGAUCAUCACCGCCAUCGCAUAGGAGCACCACCGUAGAUCCACCAUUGGAGCAUUACUCCGGGUUCCAUUUUGCCCAAUGGUUGGAUCAGAAGUGUAUUCUUCAGAAGUGAAGAAAACUGAGGUUUUAAUGGAAAAUUUCCGUCGUGCAAUUGGUCUACGCAUCAAGGAAAAUAAGGAAGUUUAUGAAGGAGAGGUGCCAGAGAAGCUCUAACUGUCAAAUGUGUUGGCAAUCCAUUAGCCUGAAGGAUCCUUCCAGUCAGGAAUUGCUUGAAGCUGUGGAACGGGAGAGGAGCUUUAGGUUUAAUCCUUCAAGGAAUUCCACUAUAUUCCAUCAUCCCACCCUUGGGGGUUUCGAAUUACAGCAUUUACCAGUUGGUGCAAAUGAUGCUGAGCUUGAAGAGCGUAUUAUCCAGCACUUGGCUGCUGCUGCUGCAAUGGGAAGGGCCCACCACCACAUUGCUCGGAGGGAUGGCCCCGGGAGUCAGUCAUCUGUUCAUGGUCGCCCACAGUUCGUGGUGUUUUCCUCUCAUCCUAAUUUGCCUCCUGCUUAUUUGGCAUCUGUAGGAGGGGAAUCUGAGCCAGCUACUAUUACUGCAGCUAGUCUGUUCAACUUGCUGGUGGGGAUGAACCACAACAGCUUCGACACCAGUUCCAUUCUGUUCAAACUGAUCAAUUUUCCUCCUCAUCCUUUGGAUCUACUAUGAUACCGGGAAAUCGACAAGGAAUAUCUGUUCAUAAUCGAGGUCUGGUCCACAAAAGAUGAUUGUUUCGGGGGGAAUGGUGAAGUUCAACCUUUGACUUUUGCCAAAGGACUUACCAGAAACUGGAUCCAAAGCAACUAAAUGGAGAAAGGAGGUUUUAUCUCACUGGCCUUGAAGCAGUUGGGUCAGGGCCUAGUUGAGUCAUCAAUUACAGGUGCUGCUAGGCUUUCGGGUCACAAUGACAGUAUCAUGAUAGCUGCAAGUUUUCAAGUGGUUGUAGCAUUGGAUACAUUGCUGGCGGGGAAUAUAUUGGGCUGCUUAUUAUAGGUCUGAGGUUGGGUAACUGAAGGUGGUUUCAUUCAGCUGUUCUGUUCUCAGACUCCCUUUGUGUAAGAUUAAAUGCAGGUCUUAUUGGGCUAUGUGUAAUAAUAUUACUGUGUGAUGGACACUGGGUGCGCUAGCCUGCUGAGGUUAGAGGGUUAGAGCCUCCUAUCAUGCCCACUAUUUUUUUGAGUGAUGAUUUGAAGUUCAAUUUCUGUUAUAAUUUUAUAUUCUUUCACUAGUGUUAUGUAGUAUGUAUUUUGUGUUGAUCAUUGGAGUUUACUCUUGAAUUUUAA